rnacentral:rRNA from 1 species
UACAGAGGUCUCAAGCGUUGUUCGGAUUCAUUGGGCGUAAAGGGUGCGUAGGUGGCGCCGUAAGUCAGGUGUGAAAUCUCGGGGCUCAACUCCGAAACUGCAUUCGAUACUGCGGUGCUUGAGGACUGGAGAGGAGACUGGAAUUCAUGGUGUAGCAGUGAAAUGCGUAGAGAUCAUGAGGAAGACCAGUGGCGAAGGCGGGUCUCUGGACAGUUCCUGACACUGAGACACGAAGGCCAGGGGAGCAAACGGG